UACGUCAGGUGUUUCCAGUUAAUGUGGCUGAGUGGACCUCUUCCAGGACUGUGUGGGUGUCUACAGCCUGAUUGAUUAACAUCUUCCUGACACUCUUGUUAGCUGUGUUGCACCUGAGAGGGCGGGACAAUGACAGCUUCAUCGUUCUUAUUUGUAGGAAAGAUGUGUGACCUCAUAAAUUCCCAUCUACGCUCCGGCCCACCUUCAACCUGAGCAGAGGUCUAAUCACACAGAAGAACUCAAAUCACCUGUGUGGGUGUUGGGAGGCUUUAUCUGGUCCAUCCAUUGAUGGAUUUUCCAUCAACAUUAACUGUUUGAUGCAUAACAUAAUUCUAGUGAUUAAUGGACACGUAUAUUUGCAUUGUAUCAAAUUCAAAUUCCCGUCCCUCGUUUGUAUUUAGCCAUUCUUCUUUGUAGCAAUAACAUGUCUUUCUUUCCCAUCAGGAGAGAGGAACGCGUUAAAGAUCUAAUUCUGUUGCCCCUUCAAAUAUCUAUUUUUGUAAGAAUUACUGAAGCACUUCUGACUAAGGACUCCAGGCAGGAGCAUGCGACGAGCUGUAACUCCUCUCAUUGCUAAUGAAACGGCCGGCCAUGUCGCAGCUGCUCGACAACAACCAUUACGCCCAAUAUUCAUGACUCGAAAAACAAAACAAGUAUGCUCACAUGUGCAUCGCAAGAGCCACUCCACUAUCCUAGCAUAUAUGUAAAGGAAAAAGAGAACUGAUAUAUCCUUUUGGUCAUAUUCCAAUUUCACUGCUGUCUAUUUUCUUAUGACUGUGCACUGUGUGAGUGUUCACGAUAAAUGGCUAUUUUACUCCUCAGAGUGCUGUUAUUGCUCCUUUACGUAAUUUUACUGAAAUGAGGUAUAUUUCAUGUUACUGUUCAACAUUAUAGUUACAUUUUUUUGUACUCCUGUUUUGUGAAUAGUGACAUUCAUGUUUGUUAUGUUGAUAUUAUUCUGUUCCUUACCCUGCUGUGGAUGCCGCAGCUUCCCUUAAUUCAGCUUCUUCUGAGACAAACGUUAACCCCGCGCCCCCCCCCCCCCCCCCCCGCGUCAUGUGAUUUCUUUGCUUAUAGUGGAACAUUUUGUAUGGGUGUUGUUGCUCUUCUAUUAUCCCAGUUCUUUUUAUAGUAUUCAUAUUUCUUUUUCAAAUGUUUCUCCUUUUUCAACUUGAUUUCAGAUUGUGACCUUUUACACUGUAGAACAUGAUCAAAUGUACAGCCUUGAAUAAAAAACAUUAAAAGAGAUCAAACAUU